AAGGAUGCCAAGGAGAAAUGCCCUCAGCUGGUACUGGUCAGUGGGGAAGAUCUGACUAAUUACAGGAACAUGUCGUACAAAAUCUCAGAAUUUCUCCUUAAGUACACACCAUAUGUAGAAAGACUAGGAAUGGAUGAGAAUUAUUUAGAUGUAUCCGAGUUGGUAGAAUGCAGGAAAGAUAAUACACCACUGACGGUUGCAGGCCAUGUAUUUGGAGAUUCAAAUCAAGAUUCACCAGAGGACAUCUGUACCUGCGGUUGCUAUGAGAGGAUUUUGAUUGGUUCCCACAUUGCAGAGGAAAUUCGAGCAGCUUUAUACAAAGAAAUGGGAAUCACAUGCUGUGCUGGUAUUGCUCAUAACAAACUGUUGUCUAAACUUGUGGGAGAGCAACACAAACCUAAUCAACAAACCACGCUCUUUUCCCAUCAUGCCUCGACUUUCAUGUCCAAACUACCAAAAGCACGAAGUAUUCCUGGCGUUGGAUCGGCCACUGCUAGAAGGCUGGCAGAAUUUGGGGUUGUGACGAUGACAGAUUUACAGCAGUGCCCCCUGGAGGAUCUAAAAAGAGAAUUAGGCAGCAGCACAGCGGUCACUAUCAAAGAGCUCAGUGAGGGCAUCGAUGAGAACCCAGUCAUUCCUUACAGCAAACCACAGACAUUAAGUGAUGAGGAUUCUUUUAAAAGUUGCUGCUCUGUGAAAGAAGCAAAUCAGAAGAUUAAAGAGUUGGUAAAGAGUCUCAUGAUAAGGCUGGUUGAGGAUGGUCGUGUUGCUGGUACAGUUAGAUUGACCAUACGUAGACUGAGUGCUGAGAAUAAAUACCUGAACAGAGAAUCCAGACAGUGCAACAUUCCCAGCCAUGUCAUCUCAAAACUGUCAAAAGACAACCAGGAUCAAGCCUGUGGUAAAAUGGAAGAUCUUUUGAUGUCUUUAUUCAACAAACUAGUUGAUGUGAAGAGGCCAUUUCAUCUAACUCUUAUUAAUGUUGCAUUCUGUAACCUAACAGAGCGAAGCAAGAACUCUAUUAGCCAUUUCUUUUCUCCCCAAAAGAACAAGAGUGCAAGAAGUGAAAACAAACAUUCAAAUGCUGAUCAUUCAAACACCAAUCAAAAAUCUGAGUUGUAUUUUGGGAACAAUGGUAUGAAUUCCUCAGCUGCAAAAGAAACUAAAACAAAAUGCUCAACUUCUAUGUCUUUGCCAACAUCAUCUACGAAUCAUUAUGGAAAUAAGAACUCCACAGGAGAUAAAGAACAGAAUUUUUGUGAAUCUGAAACAAAUUUGGACCAAGUUACAGUUGUACCUGUAGAACAGUCAUGUGGAAAUGACAAUGCACGCCAUCUUGUGAACAAACGGAAGUCCUGCUCCCCCAAGUCUGGGUUUUUCAGUAAGAGGAUAAGAACAGAUGAGAAAAGUUCUGAGUGUAAGAAUUCAUGUGAUCUGCCUUCUGUUGGUCCGGACUCCAUUGAUGCUGAGGUUUUUGGCCAGCUUCCUCCUGAAAUCCAGAAAGAAAUAACUGAAUCUAGAAACAUGCAGCAGCCUCCCUCUCCUGUCUUUGUCAAACAGGCAUUGGGCUCACCAAGUCAAAGAGGGGAGGUUGAUGAAACUUAUAAAGAUGGUGUCCAGAAUGAAAAGAAAAUAGAAAAUGAUUUGUUGACUACAGAUUUAGCAUGUAAAAGCGAUAGUAAAAACCUUAAAUCUUUCACAUCAGUGACAAAGACAGACAAGACCCCAUUAGUUCCAGCGGGAUAUGACCGUGACGUCUUUCUCAACUUGCCCCCAGACAUUCAGAGAGAGCUCAUACAGGAAGAAGAGAGGAAAGCUGAAUGGGCUCAUGUUAAACAUGGAAGACAGGCUGUCAGAAACCCACAAAGUAGAGACUCAACGAGUGCUGGAAAUCUCUUAAAAUACUUAAAAAGAAGAAAAUAAAGCUAAUUGCUGUGUCUU
rnacentral:misc_RNA from 1 species